GGGGCUGUAGCUCAGUUGGGAGAGCACCUGCUUUGCAAGCAGGGGGUCGUCGGUUCGAUCCCGUCCAGCUCCACCA
rnacentral:tRNA from 4 species